CGAGGCCACACCAGAUCCCAUUGCCGCUGCCCUUGCACUCGCAUCCCUCCGCCGCCGCCCUGGCACAUCAAGCCGCCGCAGAUCCAUCCAUUUGCCGCCACCCUCGCACAUGAAGCCACCGCCGAUCCCUGUGCUACCUCGACGGGAGCCAUUAAUCGUCUCGCUACAACUUGAAGCUGCAACUUGGGCGGUGCCAUGGAUCCUUGUGCAGAGAAAACAAGACGGGGGGAGGUCAGGGAGGAGCAGUAGGAGGAGUGAAGGAAAAGAAGGCGGCGGAGAAGGCUCUGCUCACCGGAGAGCUCGAUCGGCGGCGACGAACUCCGAGCCGCACGUUCUGGUGACGGAGGGCUGGAACCGGUCGAUGGGGAGACCUAUAGGCGCGCGACGGCGACGGUUUGGGACGGCGGCGAAGCUGCAACUCGGACGGCGCCAUGGCUUCCUAUGCAGAGAAAACGAGAUGAGGGGGAGGUUAGGGAGGAGCAGAAAAAAGGCGGCGGAGAAGGCCCUGCUCGCCGGAGAGCUCGACUGGCGUCGACGCUCGCUGUAGCGGGAGUAUGCUCGGGCGUACCGGCAUGAGAGCUGCAGUUGGUGGGAAUUGGCUGCGGGCAUAGGAACCGUGGAUUGAUCCCACGUACACACAGCACUUCUCGGCUCUACGAAAUCCAUGGCUCAAGUGCGUGUCCCGGGGUCCGAGCCUCUAUCACUUCUUCAGUUCCGGCUUGCUUCAAGAACAAAAAAUUUCUGUGUGGAAGACCACUAGCAGAACUGAAUGUUUUAUAUAGCAGGAUAAGGAUACAUGCUUGUACUGCCUCUAUCAUAAAUUGCACAUGAGUUGAUUCCGAGUUUAGACAGCUAGCAAUCAAUCGCUCUGAAGCAAGGGUUCUCUCAGCGGCUUGCUCGAAUCGUCCACCACCGACCGCCACUGGUGCAAGCUGAAACUCACCCGGGGGAGCACUGGCUGGCGCGACCGUGGCGGCGAGGACCAGGUCAAGGCUUCGCAAUAAGCGCCGGAUCAAGCCAUGAAACACGUUGACAGAUUAGUUUUCCACCUCAUGUUUACUUCACCAUGUAGUUGGGUGUAACGUGAGUUCUGCUCUUCUUCUAGGCUGUUGGGAGGAGCGACCCUGCCAUCACGUGGAGAACGAGCGGCUCUUGGUGCUCGACAAGGUGCCUGAGCAAGGCAUAUUAGUGGAGAUGGCUUGACCCUGAACUUGCUUUCCCCAAAUUUGUUCAGUGAGCAGUGCUAUCAUAUUCUCCUUGCUCUUACCAUGGAUAGGUUUGGAGUUUGGGUAUUUUUAGUUCUCGCAUUUGGACCAAAAUGAUUGGGGCAGUGGAGAUUGACACGAGCAAUUUUGAACACAAGGUCAGACAAUGAAGGAUUUGUUGUCGAGAUAUCAAAAGUUGCUCAUAUCAACUGGAAAUAUAGAAGUUAUAUUCAGUAAUGCAGACAUAUAGUUUUUUUGCAUAUGAAAAUAGAUUGUCAACAUAUAUUAUUUGGCUCAAUAAAUUGUGUUGUGAAUCACUUCGAAUUGUUUGUAACAAUGCACAUUUUUCAUACAACACCUUAAUAUGUAGCUUAUAAGGCUUUUAGUUUGUGAAUAAUUUGUUCAAAGAGUCACACUGUAUCAUCACACAAGGCAACAAUAUAUUAAGGUGAAGACUUUGUCAUCUAUACUUGUUGAUACCUUUUCAAUUA